rnacentral:rRNA from 1 species
GGCUUAGAAGCAGCCAUCCUUGAAAGAGUGCGUAAUAGCUCACUGGUCAAGUGAUUCUGCGCCGAUAAUGUAGCGGGGCUCAAGUACACCGCCGAAGUUAUGGCAAUCAGCUUUUUUGUGGCUGGUUGGGUAGGGGAGCGUCCUGCAUGAGGUGAAGCUGCCACGGGAGUGUGUGGUGGAUUGUGUGGGAGUGAGAAUGCAGGCAUGAGUAGCGAAUCACGGGUGAGAAACCCGUGCGCCGGAUGAUCAAGGGUUCCAGGGUCAAGUUAAUCUGCCCUGGGUUAGUCGGGGCCUAAGGCGAGGCCGACAGGCGUAGUCGAUGGAUAACGGGUUGAUAUUCCCGUACCAGUGAAGAACCGUCCAUACUGAUAUUGUGAUGCUAACCAUGCCGAACACGGUGUCAUGAAGUUUUCUUUGUGGUGUUGUGGGGUGUGUGGGACCCAGGCUUUGGAGGUAAGCGUAUUAACAGGUGUGACGCAGGAAGGUAGCCAAGCCACGCGGUGGUUGUCGUGGUCUAAGCGUGUAGGAUGGUUGGUUGUUAAAUGCGCCAGCUGUGUGUCUGAGACGUGAUGGGACCCCGUUGUUGGGGGAUUUGGUGAUCCUAUGCUGUCGAGAAAAGCAUCGGCGUGAGGUUUGAGCUGCCCGUACCCGAAACCGACACAGGUGAUCAGGUAGAGAAUACUAAGGCGAUCGAGAGAAUCAUGGUUAAGGAACUCGGCAAAAUGCCCCCGUAACUUCGGGAGAAGGGGGGCCCUGAGCGUGAUCUGCCCGUGCGGUGGGGAGCGUGUAGGGGUCGCAGAGACCAGGGGGAAGCGACUGUUUAUCAAAAACACAGGUCCGUGCGAAGUCGUAAGACGAGGUAUACGGACUGACUCCUGCCCGGUGCUGGAAGGUUAAGAGGAGUGGUUAGCCCCUUUUGGGGGCGAAGCUGCGAAUUUAAGCCCCAGUAAACGGCGGUGGUAACUAUAACCAUCCUAAGGUAGCGAAAUUCCUUGUCGGGUAAGUUCCGACCUGCACGAAUGGAGUAACGACUUCCCUACUGUCUCAACCAUGAACUCGGUGAAAUUGCAGUACGAGUAAAGAUGCUCGUUUCGCGCAGCAGGACGGAAAGACCCCGUGACCUUUACUAUAGUUUGGUAUUGGUGUUUGGGUUGGCUUGUGUAGGAUAGGUGGGAGACUGUGAAGCCGCUACGCUAGUGGUGGUGGAGUCGUUGUUGAAAUACCACUCUGGUCAAUCUGAGCGUCUAACUUCGGGCCAUGAUCUGGUUCAGGGACAGUGCCUGAUGGGUAGUUUAACUGGGGCGGUUGCCUCCUAAAGUGUAACGGAGGCGCCCAAAGGUUCCCUCAGCCUGGUUGGCAAUCAGGUGUUGAGUGUAAGUGCACAAGGGAGCUUGACUGUGAGAGUGGCGGCUCGAGCAGGUGCGAAAGCAGGGACUAGUGAUCCGGCAGUGGCGUGUGGAAGCGCUGUCGCUCAACGGAUAAAAGGUACCUCGGGGAUAACAGGCUGAUCUUGCCCAAGAGUCCAUAUCGACGGCAUGGUUUGGCA